rnacentral:rRNA from 1 species
AAAACAUCGCCUCCUGCAACACAACUAUGUAUAGGAGGUCCAGCCUGCCCAGUGACUACAAGUUCAACGGCCGCGGUAUUUUGACCGUGCAAAGGUAGCGCAAUCACUUGUCUUUUAAAUAGAGACCUGUAUGAAUGGCUAAACGAGGGCUUAACUGUCUCCCCUUUCCAGUCAGUGAAAUUGAUCUGCCCGUGCAGAAGCGGACAUAAAAAUACAAGACGAGAAGACCCUUUGGAGCUUAAGGUACAAAACUUAACCACGUCAAGCAACUCAACAAAAAGCACAAACUUUGUGGAAUCUAAGAUUUUACCUUCGGUUGGGGCGACCACGGAGGAAAACAAAGCCUCCAAGUGGAUUGGGAAAAACUCCUAAAACCAAGAGAGACAUCUCUAAGCCACAGAACAUCUGACCAAACAUGAUCCGGCUACCCAAAGCCGAUCAACGAACCAAGUUACCCUAGGGAUAACAGCGCAAUCCUCUCCCAGAGUCCAUAUCGACGAGAGGGUUUACGACCUCGAUGUUGGAUCAGGACAUCCUAAUGGUGCAGCCGCUAUUAAGGGUUCGUUUGUUCAACGAUUAAAGUCCUACGUGA